AUUGAUUGGUAGAACAAAGUUGUA
rnacentral:siRNA from 1 species